rnacentral:rRNA from 1 species
UACAGAGGUCUCGAGCGUUGUUCGGAUUCAUUGGGCGUAAAGGGCGCGUAGGCGGCGGGGUAAGUCUGGUGUGAAAUCUCGGAGCUCAACUCCGAAAUUGCACUGGAUACUGCUCUGCUAGAGGGCUGGAGAGGAGAUCGGAAUUCACGGUGUAGCAGUGAAAUGCGUAGAUAUCGGGAGGAACACCGGUGGCGAAGGCGGUUCUCUGGGCCUGACCUGACGCUGAGGAGCGAAAGCGUGGGGAGCGAACAGG